rnacentral:rRNA from 1 species
UCGAGGAUCUUCGGCAAUGGGCGCAAGCCUGACCGAGCGACGCCGCGUGUGCGAUGAAGGCCUUCGGGUUGUAAAGCACUGUCGAGGGGGAGGAAAGCCGCAAGGCCUGACCUAUCCCUGGAGGAAGCACGGGCUAAGUUCGUGCCAGCAGCCGCGGUAAGACGAACCGUGCGAACGUUGUUCGGAAUCACUGGGCUUAAAGGGCGCGUAGGCGGGCUCCCAAGUCCGGGGUGAAAUCUUUCGGCCUAACCGGAAAAGUGCCUUGGAUACUGGGAGCCUCGAGGGAGGUAGGGGCGGAUGGAACUUCCGGUGGAGCGGUGAAAUGCGUUGAUAUCGGAAGGAACGCCGGUGGCGAAAGCGAUCCGCUGGACCUCUACUGACGCUGAGGCGCGAAAGCCAGGGGAGCAAACGGGAUUAGAUACCCCCGUAGUCC